rnacentral:rRNA from 1 species
UGAUGCAGCGACGCCGCGUGGGGGAUGACGGCCUUCGGGUUGUAAACCCCUUUCAGUAGGGACGAAGCGCAAGUGACGGUACCUACAGAAGAAGGACCGGCCAACUACGUGCCAGCAGCCGCGGUAAUACGUAGGGUCCGAGCGUUGUCCGGAAUUACUGGGCGUAAAGAGCUCGUAGGUGGUUUGUCGCGUUGUUCGUGAAAACUCACAGCUUAACUGUGGGCGUGCGGGCGAUACGGGCAGACUGGAGUACUGCAGGGGAGACUGGAAUUCCUGGUGUAGCGGUGGAAUGCGCAGAUAUCAGGAGGAACACCGGUGGCGAAGGCGGGUCUCUGGGCAGUAACUGACGCUGAGGAGCGAAAGCGUGGGGAGCGAACAGGAUUAGAUACCCUGGUAGUCCACGCCGUAAACGGUGGGUACUAGGUGUGGGUUUCCUUCCUUGGGAUCCGUGCCGUAGCUAACGCAUUAAGUACCCCGCCUGGGGAGUACGGCCGCAAGGCUAAAACUCAAAGAAAUUGACGGGGGCCCGCACAAGCGGCGGAGCAUGUGGAUUAAUUCGAUGCAACGCGAAGAACCUUACCUGGGUUUGACAUGCACAGGACGUGCCUAGAGAUAGGUAUUCCCUUGUGGCCUGUGUGCAGGUGGUGCAUGGCUGUCGUCAGCUCGUGUCGUGAGAUGUUGGGUUAAGUCCCGCAACGAGCGCAACCCCUAUCUUAUGUUGCCAGCGCGUUAUGGCGGGGACUCGUAAGAGACUGCCGGGGUCAACUCGGAGGAAGGUGGGGAUGACGUCAAGUCAUCAUGCCCCUUAUGUCCAGGGCUUCACACAUGCUACAAUGGCCGGUACAAAGGGCUGCGAAUCCGUGAGGUGGAGCGAAUCCCUUGAAAGCCGGUCUCAGUUCGGAUCGGGGUCUGCAACUCGACCCCGUGAAGUCGGAGUCGCUAGUAAUCGCAGAUCAGCAACGCUGCGGUGAAUACGUUCCCGGGCCUUGUACACACCGCCCGUCACGUCAUGAAAGUCGGUAACACCCGAAGCCGGUGGCCUAACCC